rnacentral:rRNA from 1 species
AACUGCACAAUGCUGGAAACAGCGAUGCGGGAAUUCCAAGUGCCGGCACAAAGUGUCGGCUGUUCCAUUGUCUAAAAAACAUAGGAAGUAAGGGCUGGGUAAGACGGGUGCCAGCCGCCGCGGUAAUACCUGCAGCCCGAGUGGUGAUCGUUAUUAUUGGGCCUAAAACGUCCGUAGCCGGUUUCGUAGAUGCCUGUGUAAAUCGAACGGCUUAACCGUUCGAAUUGCGGGUAGACCGCGAGACUAGGGACCGGGAGAGUCACGAAGUACUCCGGGGGUAGAGGUGAAAUUCUGUAAUCCUCGGGGGACUACCGGUGGCGAAGGCGUCGUGAUAGAACGGCUCCGACGGUGAGGGACGAAGCCCUGGGGCGCAAACCGGAUUAGAUACCCGGGUAGUCCAGGGUGUAAACGCUGUGGUCUUGGUGUCGGCAGUCCUACGGGGGCAGCCGGUGCCGGAGAGAAGUUGUUAAGACCACUGCCUGGGGAGUACGGCCGCAAGGUUGAAACUUAA